GACGAGGGACCCUAGCGUUGUUCGGAAUCAUUGGGCGUAAAGCGGGUGUAGGGCUUUGUAAGUCAGGUGUGAAAUCCCUGGGCUCAACCCAGGAAGUGCAUCUGAUACUGCGAAGCUUGAGUGCCGGAGAGGUUACUGGAAUACCUGGUGUAGUGGUGAAAUACGUAGAUAUCAGGUGGAACACCGGAGGCGAAGGCGGGUAACUGGCCGGACACUGACACUCAGACCCGAAAGCGUGGGGAUCAAACAGG
rnacentral:rRNA from 1 species